rnacentral:rRNA from 1 species
CCUACGGGUGGCAGCAGUGAGGAAUAUUGGUCAAUGGCCGGAAGGCUGAACCAGCCAAGCCGCGUGAAGGACGAAGGUGCCAAGCAUUGUAAACUUCUUUUGUCAAGGGACAAAAUCAGGCUCGAGAGCCUGACCGAGGGUACUUGAAGAAAAAGCAUCGGCUAACUCCGUGCCAGCAGCCGCGGUAAUACGGAGGAUGCGAGCGUUAUCCGGAUUUAUUGGGUUUAAAGGGUGCGUAGGCGGACUGUUAAGUCAGCGGUAAAAGCCCGGGGCUCAACCCGGGCGAGCCGUUGAAACUGGCGGUCUUGAGAUGUCGAGAGGGAUGCGGAAUGCCCAGUGGAGCGGUGAAAUGCUUAGAUAUUGCGCAGAACUCCGAUUGCGAAGGCAGCAUACCGGCGGCGAGCUGACGCUGAGGCACGAAAGCGUGGGGAUCGAACAGGAUUAGAUACCCCAGUAGUC